UAUGUCUCCCCAAAUAGUAACUCUUCUGGUGGAAAUAUGAGAGUCAGUGGCAGAUAACUUGAAUACGAAAGUCUGUUGGUGAUACCAAUGAUUCAAUCCAACCAAAAAGAAAACUGGGAACUCUAAGCGUUAAAGGAAAGGCUUGAGGCAAAAUAUUAAAUUAGCUGAAAUUUUGCCAUCAGGUCCUGAGACUCUUAUUCUACCUUAUGUGUCUCCUCUUUCUAGAUUCCACUCAUGGGCCCAGAACAUUUUAUGCUGAAACUGCCUCAUACCUGUUCACAAGUGAUUUGAGUCCAUCUCCUCCAAACAAACAUUUAAAUCAGCCAAGGCAAAAUGAGAUCAGAAAGACAAAGUCCUCGAACAAAGAGAAGCAACAGUUUUUGUUACAUUUUGUCUUCUGUAUGUCUCCUUCUUGAAGAAUUUAGCUCCAAGUUAUACUCGGGAAGAGAAAAAAAUCAAAAGUUCCAGUAGGCCGCGAGGCCUAUGAUCCACCUUGUUGAAGGAAGAUUUGCUUCACCUCACCCCGCGGUAAUACUAAGUUGUUCACACGCUGUGAAGAAGACCGGAACACUAGGCUGUCAACUGUUGGGGCCUACCUGCGCCAGACUUCUUCCUCAGUGGCCAGCUUUUUCCCCCACAGUUAGCCACCAGGGGGCCGCCUGCUUGGAACAAGUGGUGUAGACGCCACAGCUUUUCUCCAAACCAACCAAAACAUUCCGGGGCAGCUUUGGAGCAAAGCCCAGGAACUUCCCUGCAAAGGAGAACAGCUCUCCAACUACAGAAGCCUGCAAGUCCUAUGGUGCAGCCUUAUUAAGAGUAGAGAAGAAAGCACGGAUUUCUCACCGAGGACCAAAGGGAAAUGGCGUCUCUGGGGCCUCAACUUUCUUAAAAGUGCGUCAGCGAAACUCUGCUCAUCCAGGGGGGUGGUUGAUAAUGCUGUUGGCAGGGGUCCGGGGCCUCUCCCCCCUUUCCCUGGCACGCUCAGAAGCGAGAAUAAAACAUACAUGUCACUGGCUGAAAAUCUAGAGAACCCUCCAAUAAAUAACCUAUACAUUGUCA
rnacentral:lncRNA from 10 species